rnacentral:tRNA from 1 species
GGGCCCAUAGCUCAGCUGGUUAGAGCACGCGACUCAUAAUCGCUUGGUCCUCCGUUCAAGCCGGAGUGGGCCCA